ACUAGAUCACAAUUCCCCUUUAGAUUUGAACCAUUCAAUUGCUUGACAGUUUGAUCACCUCAAAAUGCAUGCAGACCACCUGAUCGCAUCUCGCACGUGGACCGUUAGAUCAAAAUCAUUUCCUCUGCAAGUCUGUAAACCGUUCAAUUCGAUUACAGCGAUCUCACCGUUGGAUUUGCCUAAAACACCCAAGACCGUCCAAUCUGCUUACCAUUGGUGUCUGCAUGGAUGACCACAUGUGUGGGUCAAACGCAACACGACUUUCUUUGAUUGGGCGGUUGCCACGUCACCAGCCCAGGUGGCCCAUUUUCAAAAAAUUAUAAAAUGGCCCAGAAUUCAAGUUUUCUUUAUAUUUUGGUGCCUAAAUCAAUU
rnacentral:lncRNA from 1 species